UUCCCUUCAGUGGCAGUUUUGAAGUCGUCCAACAGCUCAGGUUCAAGGAAAAAAGAUCCACGGGGAGGUAGCUCCUGCUUCUGCAUCAUGAAGGAAGUUGCACUUGUUCCCGCAGAAACAGGAUAUCAUUGACCACAUCUGACAUGACAACACAGCAAGGAAAUGGAGCACCUUUGGAACUGCAGCAUAUCAUCACCCGGAGCUAGACAGAAACCCAGGCUCUCAGCUAUCCCCAUCCCCUACUCUCCAGCCAAGACCCUGGGAGUCAGCACCUGCAUUUUCACAAGCUCCCCAGGUGGUUUGUAGCACACUGAAGUGCCAGUAGCAUUGUCUUUCAGAACUAUGCCAACGCCAGACAGUGGCAGGGACUCAACCACACUCUGCCCCACAUAAGGAGGUUGACAGAACGCAGAGAGGGCCCAGGGACGGGGCCCAGGCCAGGCAUUUGGGGAAACACAACAGGAGGCACAGCCCAGGGGGCUAAGUCUGUGCCCAGUGACCUGGCUGGAACG